CGGGCAGUAGCCCAGUGGUAGAGUUCCCGCUUCGUAUGCGGGAAGAUCUGGGUUUCUAUUCCCGGCUGCUUAC
rnacentral:tRNA from 1 species